rnacentral:tRNA from 2 species
GCCUUUAUAGCUCAGUAGGGAGAGCGACAGACUGAAGAUCUGUAUGUCGCCGGUUCAAUUCCGGCUGAAGGCA